UCUGAUUCACGCAGAGCUCAAGACAGAGUAAAGCAGACACAAGCAUGAGGGACCUUUACAAUUUACAGUUUCAGAUGUGUCCAACGAAUUUAAGGGACUUUGUAAAUUGUUCCACGGAUGUGAGACACUGCCGGAUCGCCCAUCAAUAACCCCAUUGCAAGUUGAGUGAAGCCAUAAAAUAUUUGACUGGCCAAUGAUAAUAUUGGAAUGUUAAAUGAAAAUUUUACUGAACAGGCCAAAAGCACUCAUUUAAGUGUGAUCUAUAUCAGCUAUUUCAGUGCAACAUGGAACUAAACACAACCCUGACAACAAAGGAAACUCGAUUAUCUGAAGAAUAUCUCAAGGUUCCGAUAGAAACAUUACAUCAAAGAGGUGUUUCAACACUGAUCCUGUCUUUUGUUUAUAAUGAUUAAAAAUGAACUCAGCUUACUGAAAUACUGCCGAGAGCAGUCCUGCGCAUCGAUGGGAGCCCAGGCACCGUCUCCAAAUGACUGACCUCCUGCCCUCUCUCCCUCCCCACACUUUCCCUGGAGUUCUAUAGAGGGGUGUACCCUAAACCCCACCCCCCCUUCCCCAGAUAAU